CAAACAGGACAAAAAUCAUUCUGAACUUCAGCACUCUGCUUCUGCAGAGAACAAGAAAUCCAGUAGAUUCAGCAGUCACUGUAGCAGUGCUGAAGGAAGGGGUCUCACAGCAAUAUCUUUCACUUUUGGUCAAACUAGCUUUCUGCAGCUGUAGUGGGACAGAUGACUGUGAUCACUGAGCUUCAAGCAGCAGCUUCGCUCACACUCGCAGAGAAGAGCUGUUAUUGAUCUUCUUGCACAGGUGAAACUCCUUGGAAGUCUGUGAGCAGUUCUACUUCAGAAGCCAGCUCAGAUGCUCUUCUCCACGUUAAUUCUUUCAGGGUAUGAUAAACAAAUCUGGAAGGCUGUGAACAAGGCUUGGUCUGUCAGCUGGGAGAGGGGAGUCCUCUGCUCGCUGAGAACCUGAUGAUGGCAUCUUGUGCAGCUUAUACUGCAACUGCAUGCUGGAGUACAUGCAAGUAAAGGAGAUACUGCAUGAAGGGCACUGCCAUCACCAUCAGCAUCAUUGCUUUAGAAGAAGAAUGCUGUAUUUGAAAAAAAUAAACUCAGCACCUAGCUAGGAACUGCCAUUUAUCACAGCGCCCUGAGAACUGAGGGACUUCCAUUCUCCUCCAUGUUUUCUACAAUGAAGAUGGGGAAGGCCCUGAGGGCAAGGUGUGUGAGGAGCAGCUGAGGCCCCUCGGUGUGCUCAGCGCAGAGCAGAGGAGCUGAGGGGAGGCCUGAUGGCGGCUGCAGCUCCUCACAGGGAGCGGAGGGGCAGCGCUGAGCUCUGCUCUGUGUGACAGCGACAGGGCCCGAGGGAACGGCAUGGAGCUGUGUCAGGGGAGAGGCAGCUCGGGGUUAGGGAGAGGUGCUGCACCAUAGGGCGGUGGGACAGUGCUCUGAGACAUGGGGUGUGAAUUUUGGGUGGUCCUGUGUGGUUGGACUCAAUGAUCCUUGUGAUUUGCUUCCAACUCAAGAUAUGCUGAUUCUAUGAUCCUAUGAUUCUGUGAACUGUGUCUCUUCUAGCUAAUGUAGGCAGCUAAUUCCUCAAAACACCAGCUCUCAUUGUCCCUGCUCCCACGUCCUGAACUGGGACUGUGGGACAUCCUCCACUGUUUGGAUGCUGAGGCCCAUUGUGCCUCUGGGCUUCCCUGGGUGCAGCUCAGCAUGCUCUGUGGAGUGUCUCUCUUGGAGACUAUAAACUCCUCAAGGCAGGCCAGAAAAUAAAAGCACUAUAUGUUCC
ensembl:lncRNA